GCCCGCCGUGGCCUGCUGCAGGGCCUCAGCGUUCGCCCCGUCGUCGAUGGCGCCGGUGUCGAGACCGGCAUGUUCGAGAUCCCGGCCGGCGGGCG
rnacentral:tRNA from 1 species